rnacentral:rRNA from 1 species
AUGAAGCUGGAAUCGCUAGUAAUCGCGGAUCAGAAUGCCGCGGUGAAUACGUUCCCGGGUCUUGUACACACCGCCCGUCACACCAUGGGAGUCGGAAAUGCCCGAAGUCUGUGACCCAACCUGAGAGGGAGGGAGCAGCCGAAGGCAGGUCUGAUGACUGGGGUGAAGUCGUAACAAGGUAUC